rnacentral:tRNA from 1 species
GGAUGUGGCUCUGUGGUAGAGCACAUGCUUAGCACACAUAAGGCCCUGGGUCUAAUCCCAGCACAAAUCCA